ACUGGGCGUGGUGGUGCAAGCCUGUAGUGUCAGCUACUUGGGAGCCUGAGGCUGGAGGAUCUCUUGAUUCCAGGAGUUCUGGGCUGUAUUGCACUAUGCCGAUCAGGUGUCCACACUAAGUUUGGCAUCAAUAUGGUGACCUCCCGGGAGCAGGAGUGGGGGACCACCAGGUUGCCUAAGGAGGGGUGAACCAGCCCAGGUCUGAAAUGGAGCAGGUCAAAACUCCCAUGCUGAUCAGUAGUGGGACUGUGCCUGUGAAUAGCCACUACACUCAAGCCUGGGCAACAUAGCAAGACCCCGUCUCUU
ensembl:misc_RNA Metazoa_SRP Metazoan signal recognition particle RNA